rnacentral:rRNA from 1 species
UAACCUGCCCAAGAGAUCGGGAUAACACCUGGAAACAGAUGCUAAUACCGGAUAACAACAGAUGAUGCCUAUCAACUGUUUAAAAAAUGGUUCUGCUAUCACUCUUGGAUGGACCUGCGGUGCAUUAGCUAGUUGGUAGGGUAACGGCCUACCAAGGCGAUGAUGCAUAGCCGAGUUGAGAGACUGAUCGGCCACAUUGGGACUGAGACACGGCCCAAACUCCUACGGGAGGCAGCAGAC